rnacentral:rRNA from 1 species
CGUAUAUUAAAGUUGUUGCAGUUAAAAAGCCCGUAGUCGGAAUUUCGCGCACCCGGAAGGGGGCGUGUAGUCUAUUCGCAAGAAUACAAUUACUGUGACGAAAAUAGAGUGUUUAAAGCAGACAGGCGUCUGGAUAUAUUAGCAUGGAAUAACGAAAUAGGGCUCGUUCUUAUUUUGUUGGUUUGAAAGGAGGGGCAAUGGUUAAUAGGGACAGUCGGGGGCAUUGGUAUUUCCAUUAGAGAGGUGAAAUUCUUGGACAAUGGAAGGACCGACUAGUGCGAAGGCAUUUGUCAAGGAUGUUUUCGUUGAUCAAGGACUAGAGUGAAAGGAUCAAAAGCGAUCAGAUACCGUUGUAGUUUUCACUGUAAACGAUGCCGACUGGGGAUCGGAGGCUGUUUUUUUGACGCCUUUGGCACCCUGCGAGAAAUCAAAGUGUUUGGGUUCCGGGGGGAGUAUGGUCGCAAGAUUGAAACUUAAAGGAAUUGACGGAAGGGCACCACCAGGAGUGGAGCCUGCGGCUUAAUUUGACUCAACACGGGGAAACUCACCAGGUCCGGACGUGGCAAGGAUUGACAGAUUGAGAGCUCUUUCAAGAUUCUAUGGGUGGUGGUGCAUGGCCGUUCUUAGUUGGUGGAGUCAUUUGUCUGGUUAAUUCCGAUAACGAACGAGACCUUGACCUGCUAAAUAGCUGUCUGCAGCGAUGCGGACGGGUUCUUAGAGGGACCGACCU